rnacentral:rRNA from 1 species
GAAUGCUGACAUAAGUAACGAUAAAGCGGGUGAAAAGCCCGCUCGCCGGAAGACCAAGGGUUCCUGUCCAACGUUAAUCGGGGCAGGGUGAGUCGACCCCUAAGGCGAGGCCGAAAGGCGUAGUCGAUGGGAAACAGGUUAAUAUUCCUGUACUUGGUGUUACUGCGAAGGGGGGACGGAGAAGGCUAUGUUGGCCGGGCGACGGUUGUCCCGGUUUAAGCGUGUAGGCUGGUUUUCCAGGCAAAUCCGGAAAAUCAAGGCUGAGGCGUGAUGACGAGGCACUACGGUGCUGAAGCGACAAAUGCCCUGCUUCCAGGAAAAGCCUCUAAGCAUCAGGUAACAUCAAAUCGUACCCCAAACCGACACAGGUGGUCAGGUAGAGAAUACCAAGGCGCUUGAGAGAACUCGGGUGAAGGAACUAGGCAAAAUGGUGCCGUAACUUCGGGAGAAGGCACGCUGAUAUGUAGGUGAAGCGACUUGCUCGUGGAGCUGAAAUCAGUCGAAGAUACCAGCUGGCUGCAACUGUUUAUUAAAAACACAGCACUGUGCAAACACGAAAGUGGACGUAUACGGUGUGACGCCUGCCCGGUGCCGGAAGGUUAAUUGAUGGGGUUAGCGGUAACGCGAAGCUCUUGAUCGAAGCCCCGGUAAACGGCGGCCGUAACUAUAACGGUCCUAAGGUAGCGAAAUUCCUUGUCGGGUAAGUUCCGACCUGCACGAAUGGCGUAAUGAUGGCCAGGCUGUCUCCACCCGAGACUCAGUGAAAUUGAACUCGCUGUGAAGAUGCAGUGUACCCGCGGCAAGACGGAAAGACCCCGUGAACCUUUACUAUAGCUUGACACUGAACAUUGAGCCUUGAUGUGUAGGAUAGGUGGGAGGCUUUGAAGUGUGGACGCCAGUCUGCAUGGAGCCGACCUUGAAAUACCACCCUUUAAUGUUUGAUGUUCUAACGUGGGCCCCUUACCGGGGUUGCGGACAGUGUCUGGUGGGUAGUUUGACUGGGGCGGUCUCCUCCUAAAGAGUAACGGAGGAGCACGAAGGUUGGCUAAUCCUGGUCGGACAUCAGGAGGUUAGUGCAAUGGCAUAAGCCAGCUUGACUGCGAGCGUGACGGCGCGAGCAGGUGCGAAAGCAGGUCAUAGUGAUCCGGUGGUUCUGAAUGGAAGGGCCAUCGCUCAACGGAUAAAAGGUACUCCGGGGAUAACAGGCUGAUACCGCCCAAGAGUUCAUAUCGACGGCGGUGUUUGGCACCUCGAUGUCGGCUCAUCACAUCCUGGGGCUGAAGUAGGUCCCAAGGGUAUGGCUGUUCGCCAUUUAAAGUGGUACGCGAGCUGGGUUUAGAACGUCGUGAGACAGUUCGGUCCCUAUCUGCCGUGGGCGCUGGAGAACUGAGGGGGGCUGCUCCUAGUACGAGAGGACCGGAGUGGACGCAUCACUGGUGUUCGGGUUG